GACGAACGCUGGCGGCGUGCUUAACACAUGCAAGUCGAACGGAAAGGCCCUGCUUUUGUGGGGUGCUCGAGUGGCGAACGGGUGAGUAACACGUGAGUAACCUGCCCUUGACUUUGGGAUAACUUCAGGAAACUGGGGCUAAUACCGGAUAGGAGCUCCUGCUGCAUGGUGGGGGUUGGAAAGUUUCGGCGGUUGGGGAUGGACUCGCGGCUUAUCAGCUUGUUGGUGGGGUAGUGGCUUACCAAGGCUUUGACGGGUAGCCGGCCUGAGAGGGUGACCGGCCACCUUGGGACUGAGAUACGGCCCAGACUCCUACGUGCGGCAGCAGUGGGGAAUAUUGCACAAUGGGCGGACGCCUGAUGCAGCAACGCCCCGUGCGGGAUGCCGGCCUUCGGGUUGUAAACCGCUUUCGCCUGUGACGAAGCGUGCUUGACGGUAAUGGGUAAAGAAGCCCCGGCUAACUACGUG
rnacentral:rRNA from 1 species